AGCGCAGGCGGACCGGCAAGUUGGAAGUGAAAACUAUGGGCUCAACCCAUAAAUUGCUUUCAAAACUGCUGGCCUUGAGUAGUGCAGAGGUAGGUGGAAUUCCCGGUGUAGCAGUGGAAUGCGUAGAUAUCUGGAGGAACACCAGUGGCGAAGGCGACCUACUGGGCACCAACUGACGCUGAGGCUCGAAAGCAUGGGUAGCAAACA
rnacentral:rRNA from 1 species